rnacentral:rRNA from 1 species
CAGGCCUAACACAUGCAAGUCGAACGGGGUGCAUGGAGCUGAUAGCUUCGGUGUGAAGCACCAUGUUAUAUAGUGGCGAACGGGUGAGUAACACAUGGGUAACCUGCCCUCAGGAUUGGGAUACUUCCCGGGAAACCGGGCACAAUACCGGAUAUGAUUCCGAGGUGAAAUGCUAAGGGAUAAAAGCUGCGGGCAACCGCAGCACCUGAGGAUGGGCCCGUGGCCUAUACAGCUUGUUGGUGAGUGAAAAGCGAACCAAGGCCGAGACGGUAAGCCGGACUGAGAGGGAGAUACGGCCACACUGGAACUAGAGACACGGACCAGCCACUAACGGGAGGCAGCAGUAGGGGAAGAUUUGCGCAAUGGGCGAAAGCCUGACGCAGCGACGCCGCGUAGGGGGAAGAAGGCCUAACGGGUAUGGAACACGCCGAUGAGGAACGGGACAGACAGCCGAACGGGUGACGGGAACCGGAAGACGCAGCCACGGCGACCGAUGUGCCAGCAGCCGCGG